ACCCUCACCCUCGAGAGCGGUCGCACCCGCACCACGCGGAGGCAAGGGAACCUGGUGGGAAUCCAGGACUGGCGCGCAGCGGUAUGGGGGACGAGCCCGACACCAAGGCCACUGGGGCAACCCGGGAAGGCGUCGGGCCCGGUCGAUCCCGAGUCCGAAUACCUGCCGCUCUCCACGAGUCCAC
rnacentral:ncRNA from 2 species